UUCACCAAGCUGAACACAAGUUUACUUGAUCAACUUGGUAAUACUAAAUUUAUUAGAGUCAAUUCAAGUUUGAAUACACUUGGUUCAACCUUGACUUAUAGCUUGAGAACACAGUCUAUACCCACAGGAAGGAAGAGACUCCAUAUUUUGGAGGAGAAAAACUUGGGUAGGAGGAAGAAGGUCUCACAAAUAGAAGGAGAGGGAAGGACAAUUUGACGAGAAAGAAAAGAGGGAUUAGGGAGAAUGACCUUAAGGACGAUGCUUCAUGUAUUUUCUAUUAGUAUGGUUCCGUCCCAUUUUGACUUUUUAGUUUCUACUUUAAGAUGAAUACUACAGGAUAUAUGGUAAAAAUAAAGAUUGCUCCAUACAAUCUUCUUUGGUGCAUGCACUAGAGGAUUUUUGUCUCAUCUGCAGGGUGCAAUCAAGUUGAGCUUGAUCGAGCAUGGAUCUAAUCAAGCUUGGUUUGGAGUUAAUUGAGCUUAAAUUAUGUGAUCAAGCUUGAUUUGUUUAUUUCUAUUUUAAUGAGCAUACUUUUGAACCAAGUUGAACACAAGUUUAAUUGAUCAACUUGGUAAUACUAAAUUUUAUUAGACUCAAUUCAAGUUUGAAUACGCUUGGUUCAACCUUGACUAAGCCUCGAUUAAGAUUUAGUUGAAUAAAAAAAACAAAAUACUUGAAUUAAAGUCUAAAUUAAAUGGUCCAUUAAAUGCACUUUUUUGUUUGGCUUGACAAUUAAUUUCAAUCUUGAUUUUGCUUCUUCAAGCUUUGCUAGUAGUUUUUAUUGAUCUUGAUUCGAGUUUUUCUCGAGCUAGGCUUCAAGUGCUUAGUUUGUCUGAUUGCCUUGGCACAUCCAAAUGCCGAUCCACUUCCAAUGCAGCACCCUCUAAAUCCCUUUCUUAAACUUGUCUGUGAAGU
rnacentral:lncRNA from 1 species